rnacentral:rRNA from 1 species
GAGGAAUAUUGGACAAUGGAUGGAAAUCUGAUCCAGCCAUGCCGCGUGAAGGAAGAAGGUCCUAUGGAUUGUAAACUUCUUUUGUAUGGGAGCAAUAAGGCCUACGUGUAGGUUGAUGAGAGUACCAUACGAAUAAGCACCGGCUAACUCCGUGCCAGCAGCCGCGGUAAUACGGAGGGUGCAAGCGUUAUCCGGAUUUAUUGGGUUUAAAGGGUGCGUAGGCGGUUAUUUAAGUCAGUGGUGAAAGUUUUCGGCUCAACCGGAAAAUUGCCAUUGAUACUGGGUAGCUAGAAUAUGGUUGCUGUGAGUAGAAUGUGUGGUGUAGCGGUGAAAUGCAUAGAUAUCACACAGAAUACCGAUUGCGAAGGCAUCUCACAAAGCCAUCAUUGACGCUGAGGCACGAAAGUGUGGGGAUCAAAC